rnacentral:misc_RNA from 1 species
GAUGAAGAACGCAGCGAAAUGCGAUAAGUAAUGUGAAUUGCAGAAUUCAGUGAAUCAUCGAAUCUUUGAACGCACAUUGCGCCCCUUGGUAUUCCGAGGGGCAUGCCUGUUCGAGCGUCAUUAUAACCCCUCAAGCUCAGCUUGGUGUUGGGGCCUGCCGCACGGGCAGCCCUUAAAAUCAGUGGCGGUGCCAUCUGGCUCUAAGCGUAGUAAUUCUUCUCGCUAUAGAGUCCCGGUGGAUGCUUGCCAUUAACCCCCAAUUUUCUAUGGUUGACCUCGGAUCAGGUAGGAAUACCCGCUGAACUUAAGCAUAUCAAUAAGCGGAGGA